rnacentral:rRNA from 1 species
AUGAACGCUGGCGGCGUGCCUAAUACAUGCAAGUCGAGCGAACAGACGAGGAGCUUGCUCCUCUGACGUUAGCGGCGGACGGGUGAGUAACACGUGGAUAACCUACCUAUAAGACUGGGAUAACUUCGGGAAACCGGAGCUAAUACCGGAUAAUAUAUUGAACCGCAUGGUUCAAUAGUGAAAGACGGUUUUGCUGUCACUUAUAGAUGGAUCCGCGCCGCAUUGGCUAGUUGGUAAGGUAACGGCUUACCAAGGCAACGAUGCGUAGCCGACCUGAGAGGGUGAUCGGCCACACUGGAACUGAGACACGGUCCAGACUCCUACGGGAGGCAGCAGUAGGGAAUCUUCCGCAAUGGGCGAAAGCUUGACGGAGCAACGCCGCGUGAGUGAUGAAGGUCUUCGGAUCGUAAAACUCUGUUAUUAGGGAAGAACAAAUGUGUAAGUAACUAUGCACGUCUUGACGGUACCUAAUCAGAAAGCCACGGCUAACUACGUG